UCGGGAAUUUUGGGCAAUGGGGGAAACCCUGACCCAGCAACGCCGCGUGAAGGAUGAAGUAUUUCGGUAUGUAAACUUCGAAAGAAUAGGAAGAAUAAAUGACGGUACUAUUUAUAAGGUCCGGCUAACUACGUGCCAGCAGCCGCGGUAAUACGUAGGGACCAAGCGUUGUUCGGAUUUACUGGGCGUAAAGGGCGCGUAGGCGGCAAUUCAAGUCAUCUGUGAAAUCUCCGGGCUUAACUCGGAACGGUCAGAUGAUACUGCUUUGCUAGAGUGCAGAAGGGGCAAUCGGAAUUCUUGGUGUAGCGGUGAAAUGCGUAGAUAUCAAGAGGGACACCUGAGGUGAAGACGGGUUGCUGGGCUGACACUGACGCUGAGGCGCGAAAGCCAGGGGAGCAAACGGGAUUAGAUACCCAUGUAGUCCCUGAGCGGGCUGGCAAGGCGCAU
rnacentral:rRNA from 1 species